rnacentral:rRNA from 1 species
AACGCGAAGAACCUUACCAAGGUUUGACAUGGCCGGAAAACUCGCAGAGAUGCGGGGUCCUUCGGGGCCGGUCACAGGUGGUGCAUGGCUGUCGUCAGCUCGUGUCGUGAGAUGUUGGGUUAAGUCCCGCAACGAGCGCAACCCUUGUCUCAUGUUGCCAGCGCGUUAUGGCGGGGACUCGUGAGAGACUGCCGGGGUCAACUCGGAGGAAGGUGGGGAUGACGUCAAGUCAUCAUGCCCCUUAUGUCCAGGGCUUCACACAUGCUACAAUGGCCGGUACAAAGGGCUGCGAUGCCGUGAGGCUUAGCGAAUCCUUUAAAGCCGGUCUCAGUUCGGAUCGGGGUCUGCAACUCGACCCCGUGAAGUCGGAGUCGCUAGUAAUCGCAGAUCAGCAACGCUGCGGUGAAUACGUUCCCGGGCCUUGUACACACCGCUGUA